rnacentral:misc_RNA from 1 species
GAUGAAGAACGUAGCGAAAUGCGAUACGUAAUGUGAAUUGCAGAAUUCAGUGAAUCAUCGAGUCUUUGAACGCACAUUGCGCCCCCUGGUAUUCCGGGGGGCAUGCCUGUCCGAGCGUCAUUGCUGCCCUCAAGCACGGCUUGUGUGUUGGGCCUCCGUCCUCCUCCCGGGGGACGGGCCCGAAAGGCAGCGGCGGCACCGCGUCCGGUCCUCGAGCGUAUGGGGCUUCGUCACCCGCUCUUGUAGNNCCGGCCGGCGCUUGCCGACACAUCAAUCUUUUUUCCAGGUUGACCUCGGAUCAGGUAGGGAUACCCGCUGAACUUAAGCAUAUCAAUAAGCGGAGGA